GGACAUGGGUGGAGCAGGGGUUCCUGGGUCAGGGUGGCCACGCCUUGAUUUCCAAAAUCUCCUCACUGCUCUUGGGUGUGGCUCCAACCCCAGUGGCCAGCACCCCGCCUCUUUUGUGAGGCUGAUGCUGGCCCAAAGAAGCAACCCUGGGCUGGUCCCAAGCCUGGGUCUUGGCAUCAGCAGUGUGUAAGAGGCCUAUUCUCUGGAAAAGGCUGAAUUCUGCUUUCCCGAGGGCCAGGCCUAGGAGGGAGUCCUCCCUCACUGAAGGCCAGCCUCGGGCUCUUUUCUGUGCAAAGCUGUAGGGGAGAGGUGACUUGGAGCUGGAGGGGUGAGGGAGAGGCCAGCUCUGCUGAGCUGUUAGGCAGACCUGCCCUGACCUGCUUGUCCCACCUGCCUACCCCCAGCAGCAGUGGCCCCUUUCAUCUCUGAAGCUCAAAGGAAAUGCUGGCGUCCCAUCAUUAGUCAGUGGUGGGGGAAGGGUGGCCGCUGACACCAUGCAGACAGCCUGCACCACCUCCCUGCCAGGCCCAGGAGGCCAGAUGCUGCAGACCUGCUUGGCCUUGGCUUUAGAUCUUGGGCUGCUUUUGCCAGGAAGGGGAGGAGACGUGCUCUUCUAGGUGAGGGGCGUGAACCAGACAUGCAUUAUGUGUGCUCCCUGAUUUACAUGGGAAAUCCAGGACCCCUCUGUGGAUUCUCAGUGUCCUGGAGGCACAGAUGAGCCACUCCCCACUCCCUCCUCUCUUUAAGAAUUGUUCUGAGUUUCCACAGAACAGCUUGCUCCCCUCCUCUCCUGCCUUCCACAAAGCCCCCCUUCCUCCACCCGGCAUCUCAGUUCCUAGCCCCAGAUCUCCACCUUCCUUUUCUCUAGCUGCUUCUUCAGAAUACUGUAACCGGCUUCUUACCUUGCCAGGGGUCACCUUUCUACUUUGGAAGUGCUUCUUGGACAUGUCCACAAGGAUGGAUCUGCAUUGGCCAUCUACCCAAACCCAGCUUCUCCAAAAGGAAUUAUUCCUCUCCCAUUUCCUUUGCACAGUUCUGAGACCAGAGCAGCCAGAUUGAUGGCCCCACUAUCCCCAAGUGCUCAUUCUGCCUCACUGCUUGGGCCUUAUGGAAGACAUCCCUCACCUGUGGGGACACAGCAGCUCCUCUUAAGGGCACCCCCACUGACCCACCCCACGCCCAAACACUGGUGUUUUUUACUGUCUCUCCAAGAAGCUUACAAUCUGCAUAACUCAUCACAGAAGCUCCAGGAUCUAGCACAGCUCCUAAGAUGAAUAGGCACUCAGUGUAUGUUUGUUGAAUGAAUACAUGUUUAUACUUAGUCAAAUAUUGCCACUUUUGAAGUUCCUUAAGGGCAAAGUCCAUGUCUCCCAUGGACUUGUGAACACUAUAUUGUUUUUUAUUUAUUUAUAAAUUGAAAAAUUAUUAUUUACUUGACAGAUAAUUUCUGAAUUAAUAUAAAGAAAUGACAAUAACUUGUAUACACACUAAUUCAAAAAUUUUUCAAUAAGAACCAAGUAGAACAGUUCACAGUCUUUUUCAGAAAAAUAACUUUAUCAUUGAAAGAUUGCCCCAAUUUAGUUUAUUGAGGUGUUUUUUUGUUUGUUUGUUUUUUGUGCUGCUGAGGAUUGAACCCAGGGCCUUGUGCAUGUGACAGAGGGACUCUACCAACUGACUAUAUCCCCAUCCCAGUUUAUUGAGGUUUUUAAUGAAGAAAUCUAAAGCUGCCAAUCAGAACUUCUAAAUAGCACAAGAAGACCAGGUUAAACCCUUAUAAUAUAAGUAAAAAAAUAACUUUCAAAAGCUUUAACCUAUACAUUCUAACUGGGGAUCUGCUAGCCUCAGAGGUCAUUGGUCCAUAGCCAAAUACCAUCCCACAACACAGAUGAGAGGGUAAUGAGUAUCAUAUACAAAGUGAGUACAACUUAUGGUAUAAAACAGGGUCUUGUGUGUUCACUGGGAACAAUGCCUAAUUCCCAGGUGCAGAUUAUGCAGCAGGGGGCCCAGAAACAGAAUUCACUAACCCACAAAGGAGAACCGAGCAAGGACAAUGGAAGGUAGAAAGUCCCGUGCCCUGGGAUGAAGCUGGAAGGAGCCUUCAUGGACCAGGUGGCAUCCAGGCCAGACCAGGUACAUGAGUGGAAGUCGACAGGUGGCAAGGGAUCUUCAAGGCUGGAGAGAACCAAACAACAAGACACUGAGCCUCAGACCUAGCGGCCACUCAGAGGACAGGGGAGUGUUUGUGUUGGGUGAAGGGACACAAUCUAAGAAGAGAUGCAUGAAACAGAAAGCAAAACCUCCUUCAGUAAGAGACGGAGGCCCCAUACUCUCUGUGGAGGCGAAGCGGGAUCCUCCACAGCUCACCCUCCCCGGGGAGGCCCAGCCCCUUAGAAUCAAAUCCAUGAGCAAGAAUCUUCCUUUGUGUAAACUGUCUCUUCCCCAAAAAGUAAAGCAGAAACACAAGAAAACAAAAUGAGACUCAAAAGAAAAAGAGACAUCCGAGCAAGCUUUGACCCUUCAUACUUCAUUGGUGUUCCAGCUGUCACACUAGUGAAGACACGGUCUUCUUCGUUGCUCACACAGGUUCAUUACUGCAAGAAUUUAGCAUAUCAUGUCCUAGUACAGCUCCUCUCAAAAGCAGGAAACUCCAUACAAAACAUAGACUUACCCAAAUAAAAGGCAGCAUCAACUUAAGGAUCUAGUGUAAGUAAUAUCACAGCACUCAUCUAAAUUUUUUUUUUUUUUUGCACCAGGGAUCAAACUGGGGGUGCUUAAUCACUGAGCCACACCCCAGCCCUUUCUAUUUUUUAUUUUGAGGCAGACUCUUGCUAAAUUCCUUAGGGUGUCACUAAUUGCUGAGGCUGGCCUUGAACCUGUGAUCUUCCUGCUUCAGCCUCCCAAAUCACUGGGAUUAUAGGUGUGCGCUUAACCUAGCAUAUUCUAACUGGUUUAACCUAGCAUAUUCUAACCCUUUUCUGACCCAUUUCCAAACAUUUGCACUCUGUAAUGCUCUGGAAGCAUUACAAAUGCAGCAUGAGAUUCCUCUUCUGGAAGUAGUUCAGAGUCUUGAAACAGCAAAUUUACAUAUUUUUCUAGGCUAUCAUAGAUGGGUAUUAUAUACAAACUCCUUCUCCCCUGAUUCUCAGACUACUGUAAUAUUUUCCCUCAGAUCAUGACAAACUAACGACUGAAAAC
rnacentral:lncRNA from 1 species